UGAGCGAUCUGCCCUUCUCAUCGGAAUAACCAUUGGAAACGAUGGCUAAUGCCGAAUACGACCUCCUUUCGCAUGAUCGGAGGUGGAAAGCUCCGGCGGAGAAGGAUGAGCUCGCGGCCUAUCAGCUAGUUGGUGUGGGUAAUGGCCCACCAAGGCGACGACGGGUAGCCGGCCUGAGAGGGUGACCGGCCACACUGGGACUGAGACACGGCCCAGACUCCUAGG
rnacentral:rRNA from 1 species